rnacentral:misc_RNA from 1 species
AGCAGCCGCGGUAAUUCCAGCUCCAAUAGCGUAUAUUAAAGUUGUUGCAGUUAAAAAGCUCGUAGUUGAAUUUCGGGAUCAAUGCGUCGGUCGUGCCUUCGGUACGUACUAGCGUCAUUGAUUCCUCCCUUCUGAAGAACCGUGAUGUCAUUAAUUUGGUGUUACGGGGAAUCAGGACUGUUACCUUGAAAAAUUAGAGUGUUUAAAGCAGGCUAACGCUUGAAUACAUUAGCAUGGAAUAAUGAAAUAGGACGUUCGAACCUAUUUUGUUGGUUUCUAGGAUCGACGUAAUGAUUAAUAGGGAUAGUUGGGGGCAUUAGUAUUCAAUUGUCAGAGGUGAAAUUCUUGGAUUUAUUGAAGACUAACUACUGCGAAAGCAUUUGCCAAGGAUGUUUUCAUUAAUCAAGAACGAAAGUUAGGGGAUCGAAGCGAUCAGAUACCGUCGUAGUCUUAACCAUAAACUAUGCCGACUAGGGAUCGGAUGAUGUUAAUUUUUUAAUGUACUCAUUCGGCGCCUUAC